UUAGGCGACGAAGUGGUUGAUACCAUGCUUCCAAGAAAAGCUCCUAAGCUUCAGAUAACUGGGAACCGUACCCCAAACCGACACAGGUGGUUAGGUAGAGAAUACCAAGGCGCUUGAGAGAACUCGGGUGAAGGAACUAGGCAAAAUGGCACCGUAACUUCGGGAGAAGGUGCGCCGGCGAGGGUGAAGGACUUGCUCCGUAAGCUCAUGCCGGUCGAAGAUACCAGGCCGCUGCGACUGUUUAUUAAAAACACAGCACUCUGCAAACACGAAAGUGGACGUAUAGGGUGUGACGCCUGCCCGGUGCCGGAAGGUUAAUUGAUGGGGUUAGCGCAAGCGAAGCUCUUGAUCGAAGCCCCGGUAAACGGCGGCCGUAACUAUAACGGUCCUAAGGUAGCGAAAUUCCUUGUCGGGUAAGUUCCGACCUGCACGAAUGGCGUAACGAUGGCGGCGCUGUCUCCACCCGAGACUCAGUGAAAUUGAAAUCGCUGUGAAGAUGCAGUGUAUCCGCGGCUAGACGGAAAGACCCCGUGAACCUUUACUAUAGCUUUGCACUGGACUUUGAAUUUGCUUGUGUAGGAUAGGUGGGAGGCUUUGAAGUGGGGACGCCAGUUCUCAUGGAGCCAUCCUUGAAAUACCACCCUGGCAACUUUGAGGUUCUAACUCAGGUCCGUUAUCCGGAUCGAGGACAGUGUAUGGUGGGUAGUUUGACUGGGGCGGUCUCCUCCCAAAGAGUAACGGAGGAGUACGAAGGUGCGCUCAGACCGGUCGGAAAUCGGUCGUAGAGUAUAAAGGCAAAAGCGCGCUUGACUGCGAGACAAACACGUCGAGCAGGUACGAAAGUAGGUCUUAGUGAUCCGGUGGUUCUGUAUGGAAGGGCCAUCGCUCAACGGAUAAAAGGUACUCCGGGGAUAACAGGCUGAUACCGCCCAAGAGUUCAUAUCGACGGCGGUGUUUGGCACCUCGAUGUCGGCUCAUCACAUCCUGGGGCUGAAGCCGGUCCCAAGGGUAUGGCUGUUCGCCAUUUAAAGUGGUACGCGAGCUGGGUUUAGAACGUCGUGAGACAGUUCGGUCCCUAUCUGCCGUGGACGUUUGAGAUUUGAGAGGGGCUGCUCCUAGUACGAGAGGACCGGAGUGGACGAACCUCUGGUGUUCCGGUUGUCACGCCAGUGGCAUUGCCGGGUAGCUAUGUUCGGAAGAGAUAACCGCUGAAAGCAUCUAAGCGGGAAACUUGCCUCAAGAUGAGAUCUCACUGGGAUCUUGAAUCCCCUAAAGGGCCGUCGAAGACUACGACGUUGAUAGGUUGGGUGUGUAAGCGCUGUGAGGCGUUGAGCUAACCAAUACUAAUUGCCCGUGAGGCUUGACCAUAUAACACCCAAGCAAUU
rnacentral:rRNA from 1 species